AUUAUAAUUUGGAAGAGAGGAAGACAUAAAGGAAGAGAGAAGAAGGAUAAUUACAAUGCAAAAAAAGGAACAUGGCUCAUGAAUUACUUUGAAAGCACAGUUUUAAAAUAUGAUUAUCUUAAUUCAUUCCCAUCAUGAGAAAAUGUACAGAAAAAAAGCCAAGGGUUGCUCCCUGCUGACAACUUUAUUGAGCCAAGUGACUUCUGAUAGACCGAUUCAAAGAAGCAGAAUCCCUUUAUGGGAGACCAGGCUGGUGCAAAAUUUGCAAAAGGAGGCCAAAGACAUUAAUUAGAUGUUGGAUCACAUUGCCGAUGACGUCAGGGCUGAUCAUCUGCACGGACCCAGUGCACAACAGGAAUCUCUAACCACUGGAAAAUCUCACGUUUGGAGCAUUGACAGUUUGCUCUUCAGCACUGCAGCCCUGCUCUCUCCCUGAGCAGGCGAGCCUACUCUGUGCAGACGCCAGAUAGAGGCUUUACCUCUAUCCAUUACGGUGGAAUAGUUCACUAUGCCAUCUUAUUCUUUCUCAUGGGCCACCAGGGAAAUAGAGAAUAGUGCAGAAUAUGGGUGAAAAGCCAAAAGUUGGCAAGGAAGUUAAAGCAUUUUUAUUAUUUGGGAAUAUUUAGCAUUUUGAUUAAACAUAGGAAGCAAUGUAAUAUUUUGCCUUUUAGAAUCAGGCCUAAGUUUGAAUGUUGGCUCUGCUGUGUGACCUUGGGAAACUUACUUAACCACUCUGACACGCCCACUCCCUCUAUUCUUAUAUCCUUAUAUUUAACAUAGGCCAUUUGUGAGCAUUAAAUGAAAUAGCACAUGGAAAGCACUUAAUUACAAUUCCAUGAUAAUUUGCCUGCACUCCCCAAAUCCAAAAACGCCUAUAAACCAAAGUUUUGUUUCCUAAUUCAUUUGGAGGCCAAAUCUGACCUGUACCCUGACAAGAGGCCAGUUAGUCUUUAUUUAUCCCGCUUAAUGUGAAUAUUCAUGUUUCUCUGAAAAAAUACUAACGUUUUGAUUAUAGGGAGUUGCCUUAGAUCCUUCUCAGGCAUUGCAUAAUACAUGGUAUAUACACCAUACAAGCUUUAUAAAUUCAAAACAUUCUGAAUUCCCAAGCACAUCUGGCCCCAAGAAUUUCAGAUAAGGGAUAGUGAACCCAUAUGACAGCCUUAUUUUGUUACUUUGUAAAUUUCCUAUUCCCACUUCAUGGCAUGUUAAGACCUCCUACUAAAACUUGUUCAGAAGCCCCACUCUCUAACGCACAUCCAGCUCAUCAGGGUGCUUCCUCGAGUUGGGCUCUUGGCACCAAUUAUGGACUCAGUAGGUAUGGAUUCUGUUUAUCUCAGAACAGUCUUUGUGAGUUGAUUAUGGUUGCUUUUGAGUAGAAAUAUCAGUGAGUUUGGGGUCAUCUUCCAAGAGAGAAUCACAGUUUCUGAGCAAAGCAGCCUGCCACCUUCAAACAGCCCUUGAGUCUCCUAGACACAGGGCAGACAUGUUACAACCAGUCUUGUUCAGAAGACACCAUUGAACAAAUGAGUGGAGUCAAAGAAGAGUAGACAAAGGGAUGACCAUGCUCUUGGCUCAGUUCCAUCAUGAAGACAGAGAAGACAGACAAGGGACUUCCAUUUUGCCUCCCAGCUUAGGUGUAAACAGCCCAACUAGAGGAAGCCCCCUGCUGAGCCAGGACGUGCGUUAAAGAGGACAGCUUCUGAACAAAUUUUAAUAUUAAAUGGCUGGCCUACAAUGCAGCAGAUGGCAAGCAAAUGGAAAUUUCAAAAGAUCUCACUUGUAAAAACUGGUUUGGGGAAGUUGUAUAAAUUAAAUAUAAAGUGUGAGUACAUUUAUAGGAAAUAAGUAGCCCUCCAUUCAUUUCAGGCUGUCUGAUUUCUUUGGCAUAAGUGGUUCUGAAAGACAUUAUACGUGUAUACUCACUUUUAACUACAUGUAAAGUUGAAUUAAUAAUAAAAACCUCAAUUUGGUGAAGAGCAUAAGUAACCAGUCUUUUCCAUGUCUCUCCAGUGCUGCCCGAGAGGAUCCCAAAGUGGCUUGGCCAAACCUACCAGAGAGCUAAACAACUACCAUGAGACCUCUUUCAGCCAGAUCCUGAGCUGGAGCCAGAAGCAGGCAUGAAGAAGCCCAACAUCUGGCCUUCAGGAACCUCCAGCCAGCGGUCAGGCACUGUUCAGUAUUUUAGAACGCAGACGUGGUGGCUGCUAACACUUCUCUGCCUCCAAAUUGGCACCGUCUCAUAAAGAAGCUCAGAGCUACGAGGCAGGAAAGCCCAGAAGAGAAUAACUGUGAUACUGUCCCCUCCAUUCGGGACAGAGACAUUGAUUCUCAGCCAUAAUAAGCACCACCUGCCAGGAAUCUGUCAUCAGCUUUCUUUUGCAAAUGGACUCCUAGGCUGUGAAAACCCAUCAGGUUUUAUUUCAAAAGGCACUGGGCAACAGUAUAGCGUGAGGGCUCUCGGGAGGGAGACGGUGGCCACAGUGACUCGUCCUCCAUAACUUUUCUAUGUUGAGGAACCAUAGCUGGAGAUACAAGGUAAAGAAAGCGCAAUUCCCCCACAAUUGGAUGAAGCAUGUUUCGGUAUCCAGAUGAUUCUCUCAUUCCUUCUUCUACAUGUGACUCUGAAGAGAAAAGAAAUUUCAAUUCUGAAACACAGACGUCUGUCUUUAACUACCUGAGGCGAAGGUAGAGGAUUGGGUGCGUCCUUGCAGAGCUAAGACCCUGUCGUAGUCAAUCGCACAUCGCUAGCCCAGGGCCCACGUCUACCAGCUGUUCAGUAAGAGUUUGUUAAAGUGAAUGAAGAAACAGCUAUCAAGUCUUUCCCCAGGGAGGUUGAGUCAGAGAAUUAUUUUAAGUAGGAUAACCAACGACCCAGUUUUGCCCAGGACCAGGAUUCCCCAGGAUGUGUAAUGCUACAAGGGAAGUCCCAGGUAAACCGGGACAAAUCAGUGAUCCUACUUAAGGCUUUCCAGGAAUAUCCAGGAAGUCAACAUUAUGGCUCAGAUGGUCAUUUCCAUUAGGUCCAUAGGUUCUUUAUUGAAUAUCUUCCAUGGCAGCAGGCUUGGUAUUCUAUUCAAACCACUUCCCUGCCUCUGGAAUGGCAACCUCCCAGCUAAAAAAAAAAAAAACAACAAAACUCCUUUCUGGCCUGAUCCUGGCUCCCGGUUUUCCUUUCCCCGUGGUAACAACGAAAUGAAUUUCGAAGGAAGGCACAGCAACCUUAAAUGACUGCCCAUCAAGCGUAGAGCCAAAGCCCUGGGCAUUAUAUGAAACAAACAUCAGAAGACUCUGAGAGGUGGAAAGAAAAAGAAGGCCCAUCUAGAGAACUUGGGACCCAAGGAACAGCAUGAUGGUAGAAUCUAUUUUCACAGCCUUGCUCUGGGCUUGCCUUAUGAUUUACUUUGACCAACAGAAUGAGGCAGAAGUGAUACUGUGUGACUUUCAACCCUGGGCCUCAGAAGUCUUAACAGUCUCUUCUCAUUCUCUUGGAACACUGCCACCAGGUGUAGAAGCCCAGGUCAAGUGUGCUAGAGACACCUGGCCCAGCUGAGAGCUAGCAUCAACCACCAGACUUGUGACCAUCCAGUUCCAGAUCAUUCGUCAGAUCCCUGCAGACUCCAGCAUGACCCCAGGGGACACCACUGGAAACAAAGCCUUGGGUGAGCCCAACACAGACUGCCAAGCCACUGAAUCAUGAGAAAUAAUACGGCCAAUGCACCAGCAUUGGUGGUUCAGUGGUAGAAUUCUCGCCUGCCAUGAGAAAUAAUGUGGUGGCUGUUUUAAGCACUUUGGUGGCAAGAAUAAUAGUCUCCCAAAGAUGUUCAUUUCCUAAUCCCGUCAACCUGUGAAUCCUUACUUUAUUGGGCAAAAGGGACUUUGCUGAUGUGAUUAAGGGUGUUGAGAUGGAAAGAUUAUCUUGGAUUAUCUGGGUGGGCCCAAUGUAAUCACAAUUGUCCUUAUGAGACAAAAAGAGUCAGGAAGGUCAGAGAUGUGACAACAGAAGCAGAGCUUGGAGUGGUGAGAUUGGUGGCUCUGAAGAUGGAGGAAGGGGCCACAUGUCAAAAAAUGCAGGGGGCCUCCAAAAGCUAGAAGAGGUGAGGAAACAGUCUCCUCUAGAGCCUUCAGAAGGAACACAAUCCUGCCAACACCUUGAUCUUAACCCAGUAAAAUCCACCAGCCUUAUGACCUUCAGAAGGUAAUAAAUAUCUGUGAUUUUUUAAACCACUAAGAGUGUGGUAAUUUGUUAUAGCAACAAAACUAAUACAGCCACUAAGAUUUGGUAUAAUGGUAAAUAGGAAGAGAUAACUGACAUAUUUAGUCCUCUGAAAACAUGACAUUUCCUAAGAUGAGAAAAAAAAAACACUAAAAAAAAUCCCAUGUUUUAUUUAACUCAAUAUCAAUAUAUACUAAAUGAUUUUAAGCUGGUAUCUUAACCAUUCCAUAAACUCAUGACUACUCUGUUCUUACCCUGAAUCAACUAAUGCUUCUAUUCGAAUAAGCAUAGUAGAACAAACACAAGACCCUGUAAAACAAUUCUUUUUCCUUCAAAAGUACACAACUAAAGGAGGCAUGCAAAUUAUUGGUUGGAGUUUCUAUGCCCUGUACACACAGAUACAGUGUUAAUGAAGACUAAGGAAUUGCACUCCCAUUUGACCUUUUUAAUUUCCUUAAUUAAAAUAGAAUAAUUAUUCUUUAAAAUUCCUCUGAGAUGCAAAAGAAACAUGAACUAAAUUUGGAAGGUACAACUCUCCACUUAGGAAUGAUUUCCUCACUAUAAGAAGUGAGGCUAAAUCUAAAUGCCAUGUCACUGAAAGAGUUAAUUUAUGAACCAAAUGCCUCCCAAGACACAAGGCCUUCAAUCUUUAAAGUCUUCAAACUCAAAAGUGAUAAAUUCAUAUAUAUAUAAUUUCCCCAUGAUAAAAUAUAUCACUGCCCAGAUACAAAACUAGACUAAUUUUAUUCAUUCAUGGACAUGCCCACAUUCCAUUCUGGUCAGUUAGAAUACUUGUGAGUCAGUAUAUCUUCAGUUACUAUGAGCAAGAGGUCGGUUACAAAAGAAUGUGGCUUUGCCAUUCAAACAUACACAAGUACUCUAUUGUCUAUAUUAGAUUCAAAGAUUUCAAAAUUAAAAAAAAAUUGUAACAGAUAAGCAAAAGUUCCCUAGUCUAUAAAAUAAGAAUUAAAGAUUAAUUUAAAAGAAAUUAUAUAUCUAAGGAACAUAAACUCAACAGUUCAAUAAAUCUAAGUCUAUAAAAAUGCAUCAGGAAUUCAAGGGUUCUUUAUAAGGUACAUUCUUUCAAAUAUCACACCUCCUUCUUUAAAUAAUAGAGGCAUAAAAAAAAAAACUACAAUAACAUAAUCGGGAAAUAAGACAUUCCACAUGGAUGAAUCUAAAAUAAAUGAAGCUUUAGUCCUUAAGUAAGUUCUGCCACAUACACACCUGAAAUCAUUUCUGAUAGAAAUCCUUCUAGGAGGUAUUACUGAUUUCCCUACCUUCUUAAACAGUGUACACUCAAUAUAAAUUAUUAUUUUCAACAUGCUCUAGCAGCAUUCUUUCCCAGGUCAAUACAGAGAGUUUCAUUUAAUUCUCAAAAAUAAGAGAAACUCCAUUCAAAACAAUAACAGCAUGUUUAUUGCACAAGAGAAGAUGUUUUACAGACUAUUUUAAUUGUGGCUUUUUUAAGGAUCCUACACAGAAAGCUCUGACUUGGGCACACCUAGCUCUGGGGUCCCUUAUGACAUUCUCAGUCUCAGACUCUCUCUCUCUCAAAUAAAUAAAUAAAAUCUUUUAAAAAGAUUGAAAAAAAGAAAUGGCAAGGCAGGAUUCAAAAAUCAGGCUCCAGAGUUUGGGCUCUUAAUCAGUUUGCUAUAAACUUUUAAAUGGCUCAGUCCCUUAAGCAUCAGACUCUUGAUAGUUCAAGGUCAUGAGUUCAAGCCCUGCAUUGGGCUUCACACCAAACUGUUUUUUGACUAAAUCCAAUUGUUCUUUUUAAGAACUUUUUGUCAGGGAGAACUAACUUCAUAUUAACAUAACUUUUUAAAUGUUAUCAGCUGAUCAUAAUAAUAAACAUCUGCCUUAAUUUG